rnacentral:lncRNA from 1 species
GCCUCCGCAAGGCUCUUCGCCCCGCCCUGACAGCGAGCCGGAGGAGCCGUACCUUCUAAGGUCAUCUUUGCUCACCUACUCAUCAAAAAUCCAGCCCUGUUAUUUAAAAUCCGAUUUCCUGGGAGUCUUCACGUGGGACCUUUGGGAUGGAGGAGGUAAGAGGUUGCCUUGAGUUUCAGAAGAGACUUUGGACUUUUGAAGUGUUAAACUCUUAAAAGACUAUGGGGACUUUUGAAGUUGGACUACAUAGUUUUGCAUCAUGAGAUGGCCAUGAACUUAUGUGGUCCAGAGGCCAGCUGUGGAGGUCCAGCCUGCUGGCCAUGGUCAGCCUGCUACUUUCUUUCUCUCUCUGCUCCCGACUCUUCCUGAUGCCUCUGGCUAGUCUCUCUCACAUCUACAACGAAAACCUUCUGCUUAACCAUAUCAUGGAGCAGUCAUGUUGUCAGCUUAUACAAUAAACAUCUGCUGUAUUAUGGGCUGGAA